UUUGAGUUUGAUCCUGGCUCAGAUUGAACGCUGGCGGCAUGCCUUACACAUGCAAGUCGAACGGCAGCACGGGUGCUUGCACCUGGUGGCGAGUGGCGAACGGGUGAGUAAUACAUCGGAACAUGUCCUGUAGUGGGGGAUAGCCCGGCGAAAGCCGGAUUAAUACCGCAUACGAUCUACGGAUGAAAGCGGGGGACCUUCGGGCCUCGCGCUAUAGGGUUGGCCGAUGGCUGAUUAGCUAGUUGGUGGGGUAAAGGCCUACCAAGGCGACGAUCAGUAGCUGGUCUGAGAGGACGACCAGCCACACUGGGACUGAGACACGGCCCAGACUCCUACGGGAGGCAGCAGUGGGGAAUUUUGGACAAUGGGCGAAAGCCUGAUCCAGCAAUGCCGCGUGUGUGAAGAAGGCCUUCGGGUUGUAAAGCACUUUUGUCCGGAAAGAAAUCCUUGGCUCUAAUACAGUCGGGGGAUGACGGUACCGGAAGAAUAAGCACCGGCUAACUACGUGCCAGCAGCCGCGGUAAUACGUAGGGUGCGAGCGUUAAUCGGAAUUACUGGGCGUAAAGCGUGCGCAGGCGGUUUGCUAAGACCGAUGUGAAAUCCCCGGGCUCAACCUGGGAACUGCAUUGGUGACUGGCAGGCUAGAGUAUGGCAGAGGGGGGUAGAAUUCCACGUGUAGCAGUGAAAUGCGUAGAGAUGUGGAGGAAUACCGAUGGCGAAGGCAGCCCCCUGGGCCAAUACUGACGCUCAUGCACGAAAGCGUGGGGAGCAAACAGGAUUAGAUACCCUGGUAGUCCACGCCCUAAACGAUGUCAACUAGUUGUUGGGGAUUCAUUUCCUUAGUAACGUAGCUAACGCGUGAAGUUGACCGCCUGGGGAGUACGGUCGCAAGAUUAAAACUCAAAGGAAUUGACGGGGACCCGCACAAGCGGUGGAUGAUGUGGAUUAAUUCGAUGCAACGCGAAAAACCUUACCUACCCUUGACAUGGUCGGAAUCCUGCUGAGAGGUGGGAGUGCUCGAAAGAGAACCGGCGCACAGGUGCUGCAUGGCUGUCGUCAGCUCGUGUCGUGAGAUGUUGGGUUAAGUCCCGCAACGAGCGCAACCCUUGUCCUUAGUUGCUACGCAAGAGCACUCUAAGGAGACUGCCGGUGACAAACCGGAGGAAGGUGGGGAUGACGUCAAGUCCUCAUGGCCCUUAUGGGUAGGGCUUCACACGUCAUACAAUGGUCGGAACAGAGGGUUCGCCAACCCGCGAGGGGGAGCUAAUCCCAGAAAACCGAUCGUAGUCCGGAUUGCACUCUGCAACUCGAGUGCAUGAAGCUGGAAUCGCUAGUAAUCGCGGAUCAGCAUGCCGCGGUGAAUACGUUUCCCGGGUCUUGCUACACACCCGACCCGGUCA
rnacentral:rRNA from 1 species